rnacentral:tRNA from 1 species
GGGGGUGUAGCUCAGUGGUAGAGCGUUCGCUUCGCAUGUGAAAGGUCCGGGGUUCAAAUCCUCGCUCCUCCA